UAAUUAGCAACUGCGUAGCAUUGCAGUAGAUGCUAACCUCAAGUAAACUUUCUUUCUUCGAGUUGCUGAAGUCCGUCAUCAUGUAUCGUCGACGAAUAUCCUCUUUAUGUUGCACUGUGGUGAAAAUGAGCUCCGUUGUGUUGCAGCCUCGCUCUGGUGCACAAAUCAUUUUUAACUCCACAGAGGAGCCCUGAACAGGUUGGCCAUGUUUUCAGUUGGUUUACUCAGCAAAGUAACCUACAACUGCAUACAGCGAGUGAAAUCACAAUAAGUACAGGAGUCAAAGUCAGCAGGAGGAAAUAUUCCAUCCAAGUGUAAUGCAAAAUUUUAACAGAAUUAUUUUAGGCAUUUUCACUCAAGAAACCAUCAACUUAACGUUACCUGAGGGCGAACUCAUUCACGAGGUUACAGGAUCUGACGAGCCACAAAGGUCUAACAUCUGUGGUAAAGAUUCCUUCAGUGUUCAUCACCCAGGAGGUUUUUAUCAGGAGGUGAAUUAUCCCCAGUCUCCUCUUCUCCAAAACAAACGGACCAGGACUCUGGAUGCACAGCUGCCAAUGGACAGACCUGAGUGUGCCGAUCAUCAUCAUCAUCAUCAAGCUUUUCACCUGUAUGGAACCCAGGAGAGCCGCUCUCCAGGGAUCGACGGUAACUAACUGCAGUGGUGGCAGCAGCCCGGCAGGAGAACAGGAAUGACCUUUGACCGUGGGAUCUGUGAGCAGCCACCGUCUUCCUCCAAGUGGUGACCCCUCAGCUGCAGCCGACCAUGCCUAAGCCGGGAAGACAGAGUGAGGAGCUCCCAGUCUACUGACCUUUCUACUGUUCAAGGUUUCUGUCCAAGCUGCUAUAAAGGUGAGUGGCAUCUGAUCUAACCACUGAACAUCGUCAUCAUCAUCAUCAUCAUCCUUCCAGUCACCCCUCAUGCACCUGCCUCCCCUCCCAGUGUUAAAUCAGACGCACAUGCUCUCUGUCAGCACACACACACUCCCAGACGAGAGGUAAGCUGAUCUCUCUGACAGACAGACGACUGGCAGCUUGGAGAGCCGAGGGCGCUGAGAAGGUAA